rnacentral:tRNA from 1 species
CGCGGGAUGGAGCAGUCUGGUAGCUCGUCGGGCUCAUAACCCGAAGGUCGUUGGUUCAAAUCCGGCCCUCCAACCA